UAAAUUAUCAAAGUAAAAUAAAAUAUGUAGGGUUAUAACAUAUUUUAAACAUAUAUACUACCAUCCAAAUAAUUUAUUUAUCAAAAUAUUGUAUGAGAGAUUUUAUUCUAUAAUUAAUUUUUAUAUAAAUAGUAAUGCUUUUACAUAUAUAUAUAUAUAUAUAUAUAUAUGGUUUGAGAAUAUACUUUUUAAAAUGAAUUAUAUUUAUCUGUAACCACACUGAAGUAAUGGAACAAUUAAGUGUUACUCCUAUUCUUUUUUUAAUUUUAUUUUAUACAAGUCACACAGAAAUUGCAAUAACCUAGGCACACAAUCUUAUUUUAAAACUUGGAUGCAUACAAAUAUAAAAAAGAAAACGAAGGAUUUCAGUAAUGCAGUAAAUUUUUUGCAUAAUAAAAAUGUUAUAGAAAGCAUGAAAGAAGAAAGUGCACUUGAAAGGAAAUUUGUUUUUUGAAAUGAGACUACAAUAUGCUUCUAAUAAUUCAUACAAUUUCUGAAUUUGAAAGAAAUGAAAUAUAAAAUAUUUGUUUCUUUUAUUAAAAUACACAGUUUCUAUAUAAGUAUAUGUGAGAUAUGAAAUAGAUUUUUUUGGCAUACAAUGCAAUACAUGACUAUGAACAUUUGAAAUUCAAUUCGAUUUUUAUCAA
rnacentral:lncRNA from 1 species